rnacentral:siRNA from 1 species
AAGGAAGAUUGUUGGAUACAAAC